rnacentral:rRNA from 1 species
AUGAAACAUUGGGAUAAGAACUCUAUAGUUUGCAAAAUAAAUAUCAUAAAUCCAGAUUAUAUAAUUAUGUCAGGACCAAUAGAAGCUACUCCAAAAGAUAUUGAAGAGUUCAAAAUGCAUAUUGAAGAGUUAUUAAAGUUAAAGGCUAUAAGAGAAAGCAGAAACCCUUAUCGGUCUGCUGCAUUCAUAGUUAGAAAUCAUGGUGAAGAAGUUAGAGGUAAAUCUAGAAUGGUAAUUAAUUUUAAAAGGCUUAAUGAUAAUACAGUUGACGAUGCAUACAACAUACCUAAUAAGCAGGAAUGGAUUAACAGAAUACAAGGAAGUAAAUAUUUCUCUAAAUUCGACUUAAAGGUAGGAUUUUGGCAAGUAAAAAUGGCUGAAGAAUCUAUUCCCUGGACAGCAUUUACUUGUCCACAAGGCCAUUAUGAAUGGCAAGUAAUGCCAUUAGGUCUAAAGAAUGCGCCUGCAUUAUUUCGAAGAAAAAUGCAAAAUAUAUUUAAUGAGAAUCAAGCAUUUAUAUUGGUAUACGUAGAUGAUUUGUUAGUAUUCUCCAAAUCAUACAAAGAGCAUAUAGCUCAUCUUGAAGUGUUCUUUAGAAAGGUAGAACAAAAUGGGCUCAUACUAUCUAAAAAGAAGAUGGAAAUUUGCAAAGAGAAAAUAAAUGUCCUUGGUCAUGAAAUAGGAGAAGGAAAGAUAUAUCUACAAGAUCAUCUUGCAUAG